rnacentral:rRNA from 1 species
GACGAACGCUGGCGGCGUGCUUAACACAUGCAAGUCGAGCGGUAAGGCCCUUUCGGGGGUACACGAGCGGCGAACGGGUCGAGUAACACGUGGGUGACCUGCCCUCAGCUCUGGGAUAAGCCUGGGAAACCGGGUCUAAUACUGGAUAUGACUCCAUGACGCAUGUUGUGGGGUGGAAAGCCUUGUGCGGCUGAGGAUGGGCCCGCGGCCUAUCAGCUUGUUGGUGGGGUGAUGGCCUACCAAGGCGACGACGGGUAGCCGGCCUGAGAGGGCGACCGGCCACACUGGGACUGAGACACGGCCCAGACUCCUACGGGAGGCAGCAGUGGGGAAUCUUGCGCAAUGGGCGAAAGCCUGACGCAGCGACGCCGCGUGAGGGAUGACGGCCU